rnacentral:rRNA from 1 species
GGUUUGAUCCUGGCUCAGAUUGAACGCUGGCGGGAUGCUUUACAUGCAAGUCGAACGGCAGCACGGACUUCGGUCUGGUGGCGAGUGGCGAACGGGUGAGUAAUGUAUCGGAACGUGCCUAAUGGCGGGGAUAACUACGCGAAAGCGUAGCUAAUACCGCAUACGCCCUUCGGGGGAAAGCGGGGGGACCUUCGGGCCUCAACACUAUUGGAAGCAGCCGAUAUCGGAUUAGCUAGUUGGUGGGUAACGGCUCACCAAGGCGACGAUCCGUAGCUGGUUUGAGAGGACGACCAGCCACACUGGGACUGGGAACACGGCCCAGACUCCUACCGGGAGGCAGCAGUGGGGAAUUUUUGGACAGUGGGGAAACCCUGAUUCAACCAUCGCAUUGUGCUGAUGCGGGCUGCAGGUUGCCAAAAAGCGCUUUUGGCAGGAAAGAAACGGCACGGGAUAAUACCCCGUGCAACUGACGGUACCUGCAGAAUAAGCACCGGCUAACUACGUGCCAGCAGCCGCGGUAAUACGUAAGUGCAAGCGUUAAUCGAAUUACUGGGCGUAAAGCGUGCCAGGCGGUUCGGAAAAGAAAGAUGUGAAAUCCCGAGCUUAACUUUGGAACUGCAUUUUAACUACCGAGCUAGAGUGUGUCAGAGGGAGGUGGAAUUCCGCGUGUAGCAGUGAAAUGCGUAGAUAUGCGGAGGAGCACGAUGGCGAAGGCAGCCUCUGGGAUAACACUGACGCUCAUGCACAGCGUAAGGGGAGCAAACAGGAUUAGAUGCCCUGGUAGUCCACGCCUAAACGAUGUCAACUAGCUGUUGGGGCCUUCGGGCCUUGGUAGCGCAGCGCUAACGCGUGAAGUUGACCGCCUGGGGAGUACGGUCGCAAAGAUUAAAACUCAAAGGAAUUGACGGGGACCCGCACAAGCGGUGGAUGAUGUGGAUUAAUUCGAUGCAACGCGAAAAACCUUACCUACCCUUGACAUGUCUGGAAUCCCGAAGAGAUUUGGGAGUGCUCGCAAGAGAACCGGAACACAGGUGCUGCAUGGCUGUCGUCAGCUCGUGUCGUGAGAUGUUGGGUUAAGUCCCGCAACGAGCGCAACCCUUGUCAUUAGUUGCUACGAAAGGCACUCUAAUGAGACUGCCGGUGACAAACCGGAGGAAGGUGGGGAUGACGUCAAGUCCUCACAUGGCCCUUAUGGGUAGGGCUUCACACGUCAUACAAUGGUCGGGACAGAGGGUCGCCAACCCGCGAGGGAGCCAAUCCCAGAAACCCGAUCGUAGUCCGGAUCGCAGUCUGCAACUCGACUGCGUGAAGUCAGAAUCGCUAGUAAUCGCGGAUCAGCAUGUCGCGGUGAAUACGUUCCCGGGUCUUGUACACACCGCCCGUCACACCAUGGGAGUGGGUUUUACCAGAAGUAGUUAGCCUAACCGUAAGGAGGCGAUUACCACGGUAGGAUUCAUGACUGGGGUGAAGUCGUAACAAGGUAAC